GUGAGCGGGAGGCCAGGGCAUGGCAGGGGGAGCUGCAAGGCCAUCGGAGAGGCCUCAGAGUCUGAGCCCCGUCCUCCUGCAGG
rnacentral:pre_miRNA from 10 species